rnacentral:rRNA from 1 species
CAUGGCUCAGAACGAACGCUGGCGGCAUGCCUAACACAUGCAAGUCGAACGAACCCUUCGGGGUUAGUGGCGCACGGGUGCGUAACGCGUGGGAAUCUGCCCUUUGCUGCGGGAUAACAGUGAGAAAUCGCUGCUAAUACCGCAUAAUGACUACGGUCCAAAGAUUUAUCGGCAAAGGAUGAGCCCGCGUAAGAUUAGCUAGUUGGUGGGGUAAAGGCCUACCAAGGCGACGAUCUUUAGCUGGUCUGAGAGGAUGAUCAGCCACACUGGGACUGAGACACGGCCCAGACUCCUACGGGAGGCAGCAGUGGGGAAUAUUGGACAAUGGGCGAAAGCCUGAUCCAGCAAUGCCGCGUGAGUGAUGAAGGCCUUAGGGUUGUAAAGCUCUUUUACCCGGGAUGAUAAUGACAGUACCGGGAGAAUAAGCUCCGGCUAACUCCGUGCCAGCAGCCGCGGUAAUACGGAGGGAGCUAGCGUUGUUCGGAAUUACUGGGCGUAAAGCGCGCGUAGGCGGCUAAUUAAGUCAGGGGUGAAAUCCCGGAGCUCAACUCCGGAACUGCCUCUGAAACUGGCUAGCUAGAAUCUUGGAGAGGUCAGUGGAAUUCCGAGUGUAGAGGUGAAAUUCGUAGAUAUUCGGAAGAACACCAGUGGCGAAGGCGACUGACUGGACAAGUAUGACGCUGA